rnacentral:rRNA from 1 species
GACGAACGCUGGCGGCGUGCCUAAUACAUGCAAGUCGAACGGUCUUUUCUAUGGAAGCUUGCUUCCACUGAGAAGAUAGUGGCGAACGGGUGAGUAACACGUGGGUAACCUGCCCAUAAGAGGGGGAUAACAUCCGGAAACGGGUGCUAAUACCGCAUAGUUUUCUUGAUCGCAUGAUCGGGAAAGGAAAGACGGCCUUUGUGCUGUCGCUUAUGGAUGGACCCGCGGCGUAUUAGUUAGUUGGUGAGGUAACGGCUCACCAAGACGAUGAUACGUAGCCGACCUGAGAGGGUGAUCGGCCACAUUGGGACUGAGACACGGCCCAAACUCCUACGGGAGGCAGCAGUAGGGAAUCUUCCGCAAUGGACGAAAGUCUGACGGAGCAACGCCGCGUGAGUGAAGAAGGUUUUCGGAUCGUAAAACUCUGUUGUCAGAGAAGAACAAGUUGGAGAGUAACUGCUCCAGCCUUGACGGUAUCUGACCAGAAAGCCACGGCUAACUACGUGCC